UACGUAGGAGGCUAGCGUUGUCCGGAAUCAUUGGGCGUAAAGAGCGUGUAGGCGGCCCGGUAAGUCCGCUGUAAAAGUCAAAGGCUCAACCUUUGAAUGUCAGUGGAUACUGCCGGGCUAGAGUCCGGAAGAGGCGAGUGGAACUCCUGGUGUAGCGGUGGAAUGCGCAGAUAUCAGGAAGAACACCAACGGCGAAGGCAGCUCGCUGGGACGGUACUGACGCUGAGGAGCGAAAGCGUGGGGAGCGAACAGG
rnacentral:rRNA from 1 species